AUUGAACGCUGGCGGCAGGCCUAACACAUGCAAGUCGAGCGGGGUUUUCGGACCUAGCGGCGGACGGGUGAGUAAUGCGUAGGAAGCUGCCCGAUAGAGGGGGAUACCAGUUGGAAACGACUGUUAAUACCGCAUAAUGUCUACGGACCAAAGUGGGGGACCUUCGGGCCACAGGCUACCGGAUGUGCCUACGUGGGAUUAGCUAGUUGGUGAGGUAAUGGCUCACCAAGGCGACGAUCCCUAGCUGGUUUGAGAGGAUGAUCAGCCACACUGGAACUGAGACACGGUCCAGACUCCUACGGGAGGCAGCAGUGGGGAAUAUUGGACAAUGGGCGCAAGCCUGAUCCAGCCAUGCCGCGUGUGUGAAGAAGGCCUUCGGGUUGUAAAGCACUUUCAGUAAGGAGGAAGCGUUGAGUGUUAAUAGUACUCAGCGUUGACGUUACUUACAGAAGAAGCACCGGCUAACUCUGUGCCAGCAGCCGCCGUAACAC
rnacentral:rRNA from 1 species